rnacentral:rRNA from 1 species
UACAGGGGGGGCAAGCGUUGUUCGGAAUUACUGGGCGUAAAGGGCCAGUAGGCGGCCAACUAAGUCCGACGUGAAAUCCCCAGGCUUAACCUGGGAACUGCGUCGGAUACUGGAUGGCUUGAAUUCGGGAGAGGGAUGCAGAAUUCCAGGUGUAGCGGUGAAAUGCGUAGAUAUCGAGAGGAACACCUGCGGCGAAGGCGGGUUGCUGGGCCGACACUGACGCUGAGGCGCGAAAGCUAGGGGAGCGAAUGGG